UACGGAGGGUGCAAGCGUUGUCCGGAUUUAUUGGGUUUAAAGGGUGCGUAGGCGGCCCUUUAAGUCAGUGGUGAAAGCCUCCAGCUCAACUGGAGAAGUGCCAUUGAUACUGCCGGGCUUGAGUACAGACGAGGUUGGCGGAAUUGAUUGUGUAGCGGUGAAAUGCAUAGAUACAAUCAAGAACACCGAUUGCGAAGGCAGCUAACUAGGCUUUAACUGACGCUGAGGCACGAAAGCGUGGGGAGCAAAC
rnacentral:rRNA from 1 species